rnacentral:lncRNA from 1 species
GUGCAUUUUAUGGAUGCUUAGUAGAGUGACAAAUUCUGUGUGAGAGAUUUUAGAAACUGUCAGGUGAAGUGAGCCAGCUGGGGCAAUGGGGGUUCUUUUCCCUGUGGCUGCUGCAUGGGCUCUGAGAGUAAUCCCCCCAAGGGAAUUCCAGCCAUGGUUUGGGCAAUGUCAACCUUGGCAGAAACGUGUGCCCUGACGGCUCUUCCGUGAGCGGCUGUACUCAUUUGUGUAUUUGUGUCAUAGCGGCCAGAGGGGAACCAACCCACUUCUCCUGCUGAGUCCUGUACCUCCAGACCUCUGUGCUGAUUUGCCCGUCCAAGGGCACACAACACGCCCCCGGAUACACGCAGCCUGGACACGCCCCCCCGCCUGGACACGCCCCCGCCUGGACACGCCCACCUCCGUGCCUGUGCACACACGGACUCCUGCACCCAAACAGCCUUCCGUGUCCACGGCUGCACAUCCAAAGACACCUGCCUCUCAGGGCCUGGUCCAGAUGGUGCCUCCUUCAGCAGCACCGUGGGCCUCAGGAUUAAAAGAGACAUCCUCUAUGCUCAUCUCGAAAGAUGCUGAGAAGCAUCAGCUGAAGAACAGGCCCUUCUGGGGACUUCAAAGGGACCGCUGCACAGAGACAGCCACCCAUCUGUCAGGCCGGGCUUGGUGAUGCCUACUUGAAAGGCCUGUCUGAAACGAAUCAAACGCAUCCAACCCACAAACCCCGAGGAUGUGACUCUGUAUAAGCAACUAAACCAACAAUCCCCAACUGAGCGUUCAGAUGUUCUAGAUGUUUAAGACUCACUGCUAGCAUCUAAC